rnacentral:rRNA from 1 species
AAAGGUACGCCGGGGAUAACAGGCUGAUUCCUCCCAAGAGUUCAUAUCGACGGGGGAGUUUGGCACCUCGAUGUCGGCUCAUCACAUCCUGGGGCUGUAGCCGGUCCCAAGGGUAUGGCUGUUCGCCAUUUAAAGUGGUACGUGAGCUGGGUUUAAAACGUCGUGAGACAGUUUGGUCCCUAUCUGCCGUGGGCGUUGGAAGUUUGAGAGGACCUGCUCCUAGUACGAGAGGACCGGAGUGGACGCACCUCUGGUGUACCGGUUAUGACGCCAGUCGUAUCGCCGGGUAGCUAUGUGCGGACGAGAUAACCGCUGAAAGCAUCUAAGCGGGAAACUCUCCUCAAGAUAAGACUUCCCGAGGGUAUAACCCUCCUAAAGGUUCGUCGAAGACUACGACGUUGAUAGGUCGGGUGUGGAAGCAUAGUAAUAUGUUAAGCUAACCGAUACUAAUUGACCGUGAGGCUUGAUCCUAUAACUUUG